GGGAGCGCGCUGGGGCCAUGCUCGCGCCCCAGGCAGCCGAUUUGUGACUGGCUUUUAGACGUUCCCACGACGUGUCCCCCCUCGCCUUUCUCCGAGUGCCCGCUCUGCAAACACCUCUCUAUCCGUGGGCCGGGCGAGAGCAGGCUCGCUCUGGCGGCUUUUGGGGAGAAGCCGUGAGUCCCGGGGUGCAGUGACGUUUCUUUGCGGAAGGGCGGACGGGGGGACAGCGGGACGGUCAGGGCCCUGGUGGACGUGGUGGAGGGGUCGGCGCGUCUGGGGAGGGCUGCGGGCUGCGAGGCUGAGCACGGUGAGGGCGGGUCCACAGCCCCAGCCGGCCGAGUUCCUGGAUGCCCUCCAGCGACGGUUAGGUGCCUAGGCGGGAGAUGGGGAAGCUUUCUAGGAAUCAGUGCUCGGGACAAUAACGUUUCCUGAGUGCUUCCUCUGUGCCCCGCAUGCUGUCGUUCGCUUCCGUGCAGUUGCAUCCGACACAGGAAAUUUUGUGAAAUCGAUGCUAUCAUCAUUUUCAUGUUACAGACAGAAGCGCUGGGUGUCAGGCUCACAAAGCGAGCAGGUUAUCCCGCCUGGAUGGUCUGCCGCGGGAGUCCAGGUUACCAUCGAGAUAAGGGGUGAUAGGGUCACAGUGUACAUUUGGGAUGACUAGAAGGGAUGAUUUGGGAUGAUUAGGAAGAUCAUGAGUAUUUUUUUCUUUGUCCCACUCCAGGGAAGAGGACAGGUACAGAAGACAUCUUGGCAAAUGCAGAGAGAGUACCCAUAGCUUAGGGUGGGUGCUGGUAUUGAGACUCGUGUGUGACCACGUGGGUGGCCUCAGGGAUUGCCCUAAGAACAUUUGGAUGUUUUUAGACAUGAGCAUUGCAAGGGUCUAUCCCUUCUAGCUUUGUCACCAUUUUCCUCUGGCAUUUCCUGGGUGACAUGGGACAGAUUAUUCAGUCCUCCUAAACCUCUGUCCUCAGUCCCCUCAUCUGUAUUUAGGGCAUAAUACUAGUCCCCACCCCCUAGCUCUGGGUGAGGGCCACAUGACCUAAUAUAUGCAGGAGGCUUAGAACAGCACCUCGACAGAGAGCCAUGAACGUGAUCGGUGUCCUUUGUUAUUAAUGCAGAACAGAUGGCCGAUGGCCUGUCCUGAUGCAGUGCAUUUUUCUCACGAGAAAGCCACUUGGCAUCCCAUAGCAGGAUGAGGGUCAUGCUGAUAUUGGCUGAAGUACACACGCCUUGAGUGGAGAAGGAAGGAUUUUGGAUUUGCAGUCUUUGGAGGCGUGGCUGUAGCCAAGAUGCCUGUGAUUGACGAUGACCAAGGGUUACUCAGAGCCGAAUGGACUUUCAGGGUGUUCCCCAGUGUUUUAAGUAUUGAUCCCUAUUUCUUUUGUGGCCUGUAUAUAUUCAGAAACACAGGACAGCCCAUGUUAGACUGGGAGUGGGGUGACAGGCCACCAGAUGUAUAGGGGUUCAUUUAAGGGAUGGGGUUCUUAGCCUUGUGCCCAUGGAAUUUCAAAGCCCAGUUGUGGCUUUGAACUAUAAUAGAACUGCAGUUAUGUCUAUGGAACGCUUGAAAUGUGGCCAGUAUGAAUGAGAAACUGAAUUUUUUUAAUAAUAAUUAAUUUAAACUGAAUCUGCCACAUGGGACUUAUGACCACCAUAUUGGGCAACACAAUUCUAGAGGGUCCGCGGAUGUUCUAGAACAUUUUGUAAAAUUUUUAAAUUGGAUGUGUAUGUGUGUGUUUUUCUAGGAAGUGAGUCCAUCAGCUUCUCAAAACUACCAAAAGAUUAGGAUGUGCUGCUUUAUGGUUUCCGCAGAAUGUAAGCAAGUUAAGGGAGGUAACUAUGGCCUCUGGUAACCACUGCUGUCCCUUCUUUCUCAUUUUGUCGUGUCCUUAGCUGUGGGUGACUCCUCAUGAUGAACCCCUAUGUUGUUUACUUCGUCAUAGCAGGCUAGGACCAAAGGGGCCCAAAGCCCACUGGUGUCAAACCCAAAUUCUCAUACAGCCAGUUGUUUUAAAUAGUCCAAAAAACAUAUUUCCAAAGCCAUUUGGAGCCUACCUACUUUACAUACUCCACAAAACUUCACCCAUCAUCUGCCAACCGCAGAUAAGUCAAACACUGGAGCUACAAAAGACCCCAGACUGCUGCCACCCUUUGGAACUGCCUGACCCAGAGAUUCCCCACUAAGCCGCUAAGAGACAUGAAACCGUUUCCUCUCUCAUUGUCCCUUCUUCUCUGGAAAUGUCCUUGCCCCAUUCCCCAUGUGGGUGGUGGCCCCCAUACCUCUGUCUCUGGAAGGUCUCUUGCUGGGAGGGAUUUCCCCUCUCAUAGAACCCUGUCCUUGUGCUGCCCAAAUAAGGUUUGUGUGCUACUCCCUCUCAUUGUCCUGUGUCUUCCUUGAUCACCAACCGCCCCCCCCCCCCCGCCAAAAUCCCUCUGCUCACCAAGCAUCCUUAUAUAAGGAAGAGGCAGGAGGGGUGGAGUUAGUAAUAGGAGAUAUUACCAUGGAAGCAGUAGCUGGAGUGAUGCCAGGAAGGGGUCAUGAACCAAAGAAUGCAGGUGGCCUCUGAAAACUGAAAAAGGCAAGGAAAUGGAUUCUUGCCUGAAGCCUCUGGAAGGAAUGCAGCCCAUUAACAACUUGAGUUUAGGUUUCUGAACUCCAGAAGGCUAGGAGAAAAAAAAAUUCUUUUGUUUCAAGCCACUGGGUUUGUGCUAAUUUGUUACAGCAGCAAUAGGAAACUAACGUAACUUGUAUAUGCACAAAUCUAUAAAUAUUCCUAUAUCUAUCCAUUUGUGUCUAUUAGAAUAAAUAUGACUUUAGUCCAUUGCCACAUGGGUCAUCUAGCCUUUCCUUCUUGCUUAACUGUAAAUUUCCUCACCAGCAGUGGCUCCCACCAUCCAGCCUCCGUAAACUAUACCUGUACGGCCAUUUCUGAAAUGUUCAUCUAUACCCCCAUGAGAAUGUACCACGCUGAGGACAGUGCUUUGUCUUUAGCCAGUCUGCCGACUUUUAUUUUUUAUUCGUCCCCCACCUUUUACAUUUUGAAACAUUUCAAACAUAGGGAGAAUUUGCUUUCUGCUUGGCAACCUUAGUGCUGUGAAUGCCGCCUCUCUCUCUGCUCCACUCGUUCCCUCUGGAUUUCAGUCCCCUUCCCCUGAGGAGCUCCCCAGCAGGGGCACUGCAGGGGUGUAGACCUGCUUGACCCACAUCCCUACCCCAUUGCCUCGCUCCGCCACCCAAGCCCGCGGCUUUCCCAGUUCUGCCUGACUCCUCUCCUGGUGGCUUUGUGGCUCCCGUCACAUCCCUCCUCAACCUCCAGGCUCUCCCAGGAGGUUGUCCCCAGGAACACACACCUAUAUAACUGUAUGCAAUGGUACUGGAGAGAAAAGGCUACGUGUUGAGAGACUUGGAAAGGAAGGGGAGAGUAUCAGGAUAGGAAACAUGAACAGGACAGACAUUCAAGACAGGUUGGAAACCCUAGAGCAGAAUGGCACCUGGCCCCGAAUUCUACCCGGAGCUCUGGGAGGGAGACACCCUCUCAGUGCCCCACACCAACAGAAGGAGGCAAGAGGAGGCCAGAAAUGCCAGCCUGGCACUUAGGAGAGGCCUGAGAUUAUUUCCUUGGGUUCCGCAUGGCUCAUUUGUAGCAUCAACGAUUCCCGCUGCAGGCCUCAGACUCCAUAGAGACGCCCAGGGGAGCCUGGGUCAACAAGAAGAGGCGUGGGGUAGAGAAGCGGAUGGCCCAAGAUGGACAGCUCUCCUUAUCGGGAGCCACAACAGCAACCACAGACACCAGAAUCAGAUGCUGGUAUGUGCUCACAGUCAGCCAGGACCAGUAAUCCAAUGGCCAACAUUCAAACACCAAGGAAGACAAGAAAGCAAAGGGAAUGAGUCUGUCCUUUGGCCACAAUCAUCUUGUUUCCAGCUGCCAUGGGAGACCAGGAGAGGAGGUUCCUGGCACGCUCUGCACUCUCAGGAGCCCCUCACACAGGACGUCAGACGUUGCAGCUUGGGCCCCUCUUGACUGGACGGCAAGAACAGAGCUGCUGACAUCCACAGCCCAAGAUCCUUCUGAGAUCCCAGGGAGAGAUAGGUGCCCACGUGCCCAGCGACGUUCCUGAAGCGAGAGCUCGGUGGUCUGAGAGGGAACAAGGCAGAUAAAGCGAUCUCUGUGGACUACCCUGGAAACAGGAGUGGUGCUCCUUCGUGAAGCCGUCUGUGGCGUCAGCGAGUCAUGGAGAAAGAAAAACCUGAAGUGAAACCCAGCACACCCGCACCCAGCAACGAGGAGAAGACAACUAGACCCUCAAGACGCCCCAGGCCUUCCCAAAAUAUCGUGUGCUUUUUACUGAAUAGGCAGCUGGGGAGGCACAGAAGUGACGUGGACCUGUCCAUGUGGGUGUGGAUGCUGGACUGAGCCACGUCCCGGUGCAGGUGGCCCCUUCCAAACAACCAUGGGUCUUGCCUGCUCGCCCCCGCCCCCGCCCCCACCUCUUGAAAAUGCGAAAGAAAAAUUGAUUUAAAAUAACAAACACCUCUCUCGUGUCAGCUCUUGAAAUAAAAGCUGCGUUUUCCUCC